rnacentral:rRNA from 1 species
UACGUAGGGUCCGAGCGUUGUCCGGAGUUACUGGGCGUAAAGGGCGCGCAGGCGGCGGUGCUGGCCCGGCGUGAAAGCCCCCGGCUCAACCGGGGAGGGUCGUCGGGGACCGCACCGCUUGAGGACGGUAGAGGCGAGUGGAAUUCCCGGUGUAGUGGUGAAAUGCGCAGAUAUCAGGAAGAACACCCGUGGCGAAGGCGGCUCUCUGGGACGGUACUGACGCUGAGACGCGAAAGCGUGGGGAGCGAACAGG